ensembl:lncRNA
AAGACUUAAAAUAAUAAUAAUUAAAAAAAAUCCCACCCUUGGGCUCCAGGCUGCGGGGCUGGAGAUGGGAGGUGCUGUAGCACCAGGAUUCCCCACGGGGAUGCUCAGCACCAGCCUGGCUGCAGCUGCAGGGCUGGGGCUGCGUCCCCCCUUGUAAUGACAGGAUAAGAAGGGACCGGGUCAGCCAAAGUGCCUGCGCUGGGCAGGGGCUGCCAGCCAAGGGCCGGGUGGGGAGCAGCUGAGCUGCAGCACCGCAACUGCAGCCCUGCAGUGAGAGCAGCGAGCGGGGAGCAGCGCUGAGCCCCAACCCCUGCAGCAGUGAGCGGCUCCUGGCUUAGCGAGGCAAAACGCACAGCUUGGCGAGGAGCAACGCGCACAGAGAGAGCUGGAAGGCAGCACGGGAAGCAGAGCAGGGCAGGGCAGAGCAGCGCUGGUGUCAGCGGCGGCACACAGCUCCCAAUGCCCGCAAGCUUGCUACAGGGAAAGGGGUGAAGGAGAGGCAGGGACGGGAAAUCAAACUAUGCUGCAGGAUUUGGGGCUGUUCCAACCUAACAAAGCAGCCGGGUGACCCCGAGGAGCAGCAGAAAGCACCCGGAGCCCCUCCGCCACCGCUGCAGCACGCGCUUCCUGCAUCCAUCCAUCCCAAGGCAGCCCGCAGUAACGCAGCAGAAAGACAAGGGUCAUGCUGAGCCGCAUCCUCCUCGCACACAACAGCCGAGCGGCAGCACCGAACAUGCAUGGCUCAGCCGUGCCGCCACGCCACGCCGGAACGGAGAGCCUUAAAAUAAGCAAUUACCCGACGUUAUGAUGUGAAACCUUUCAUCUGACGGCGAAGCCCUGCAGAACGCUGUGCCACCCGCAGCGCCACGCAGGCAGAUUGGGGUGACAGCCCCCAAUUGGGGACAGCAUCUCUGCGCCUUCAGGAACAGCUGAGGCACCCACGGCAAAGCCCACCAUACACGUCAGCUGUAGGGCUGAGCCAGGCCCUGCAUUUCCAGUGGCUGCAGGACAGAUGUGCAAUGAACACCCAACCUACACAGCCCCAGACAGGCGCUCGCUUCUGUCCCAU